CAGCACCUCAAGUGGUCAGGAUGAUUAUUGGGCCUAAAGCAUCCGUAGCCGGCUCUGUAAGUUUUCGGUUAAAUCUGUACGCUCAACGUACAGGCUGCCGGGAAUACUGCAGAGCUAGGGAGUGGGAGGGGUAGACGGUACUCGGUAGGAAGGGGUAAAAUCCUUUGAUCUAUUGAUGACCACCUGUGGCGAAGGCGGUCUACCAGAACACGUCCGACGGUGAGGGAUGAAAGCUGGGGGAGCAAACCGGAUUAGAUACCCGAGUAGUCC
rnacentral:rRNA from 1 species